AAUUCACACUUGGAGAAUGUACCUUUGUUCAGGACCCCAAGAUCAUCCAACCUGGAUGAUGAAACUGAAGCAGUGCAAGAUGAAAGACCUCGCUGAGGAUGCAGCAGAGCUGGGACUUAAAGAGAGGUGUCUUCCUCUUCUUCCUGCCUCAGGCGUGUGUGCAUUUAUGCACUCAUGCAUACUCUCCUUCAGCAAGCAUUUGCUGAGUAUCUGCUAGAUGUCAAGCACCUAACCAUACAAAAGAGACCCACUGCCUGACAGUGUUCACAACCAAGUAACCCAUUUUAGUGUUGCUUAGAACUGUCUUUUCUCAAGUCCAAGAAGAAAUAUAAAUAGAACAAGGGAAAACGCUUUAGUCUAUGUUCUGGACCUAUAGAUCAGUGAAUGGAAACUGUUUUUUUCUGACUUCACAGAAUAGGGACCUUGAGGCUCUGACUGAAUCAACAUAAUCUCCUCUCAGGUGGGAUGUAGAACUUGGUUACCAAUUAUCUCUUCCAGUGUGACCUCUCUUCUUGAACACAGAAUGAAACAGACUGUUUGGAAGGAAAAGAGAGACCUACCAUCCUGCAUAAACCAUAUCUGUUUAAUUACACUUAACAAUCAUUACAAAGUACUAAUUUAUCUUUAAUACUUAUUUUGUCUUCAUUUUAUUGUACAUUAUCUAUAUUGUACAUUAAUAUAGAUAAAUACUUUUAGAGAUAAAGAAGUGAAUAAAUACAAAAUGUUCAUGCUGUCAUCUCUAUAUAAAGUUUAUCUAUCAAAUGUAUACACAAAAAUGGCCCAACCAUUUUUAUAGGUUUUGUGGUUGAGUAGAAUAGAUAAUUUAAAAUAAAAAUUAUAUUUAAUUCUAAAAAAAAUCACUGUAACCAGUAAAUUCAGUCUCCCCCAUUAUCAAAUACUUAAUUAACCUAUGGACAGAAAAUAUUAAAAUAAAUGGUUUUAUUU